UUUGUAGAAUGAACCGGCGAGUUACGAUUUGAUGCAAGGUUAAGCAGUAAAUGUGGAGCCGUAGCGAAAGCGAGUCUGAAUAGGGCGUUUAGUAUUUGGUCGUAGACCCGAAACCAGGUGAUCUACCCUUGGUCAGGUUGAAGUUCAGGUAACACUGAAUGGAGGACCGAACCGACUUACGUUGAAAAGUGAGCGGAUGAACUGAGGGUAGCGGAGAAAUUCCAAUCGAACCUGGAGAUAGCUGGUUCUCUCCGAAAUAGCUUUAGGGCUAGCCUCAAGUGAUGAUUAUUGGAGGUAGAGCACUGUUUGGACGAGGGGCCCCUCUCGGGUUACCGAAUUCAGACAAACUCCGAAUGCCAAUUAAUUUAACUUGGGAGUCAGAACAUGGGUGAUAAGGUCCGUGUUCG
rnacentral:rRNA from 1 species